UCACUGGGGGCGCUGGCCUGUCCCUGUCCCUGUCCCUGUCCCUGUCCCCAGGACGUCACCAAGCGCCUGUCCCUGCCCGCUGACACCCGCCUGCCCGAGGGGGGGCUGGGGCUGCCCGGGCCCCUGAGCCGCCGCCUGCGCCGCGUCUCCCUGUCGGAAAUCGGCUUCGGGAAGUUGGAGACCUACGUGAAACUGGACAAACUGGGGGAGGGCACGUACGCCACGGUGUACAAGGGCCGCAGCAAGCUGACCGAGAACCUGGUGGCGCUGAAGGAAAUCCGGCUGGAGCACGAGGAGGGGGCACCCUGCACGGCCAUCCGCGAGGCUCUUCCUGUUCCAGCUGCUGCGGGGUUUGGCCUUCUGCCACCGCCACAAGGUCCUGCACCGCGACCUCAAACCGCAGAACCUGCUGCUGAGCCGCCGGGGGGACCUCAAGCUGGCUGACUUCGGUCAGGGCACCCCAAAAACCUCCCCUGGGACCCCAAAAA